GAACGCGAAGAACCUUACCAGGUCUUGACAUCCCUCUGAUCGCUCUAGAGAUAGAGUUUUCCUUCGGGACAGAGGUGACAGGUGGUGCAUGGUUGUCGUCAGCUCGUGUCGUGAGAUGUUGGGUUAAGUCCCGCAACGAGCGCAACCCCUAUUGUUAGUUGCCAUCAUUUAGUUGGGCACUCUAGCGAGACUGCCGGUAAUAAACCGGAGGAAGGUGGGGAUGACGUCAAAUCAUCAUGCCCCUUAUGACCUGGCUACACACGUGCUACAAUGGCUGGUACAACGAGUCGCAAGUCGGUGACGGCAAGCUAAUCUCUUAAAGCCAGUCUCAGUUCGGAUUGUAGGCUGCAACUCGCCUACAUGAAGUCGGAAUCGCUAGUAAUCGCGGAUCAGCACGCCGCGGUGAAUACGUUCCCGGGUCUUGUACACACC
rnacentral:rRNA from 1 species